UUUCUCUCGUAAUUUCAUAAAUCCAAACUAUCGUUCAAUCGUAUACAAUUAUGCUCCAUUCGUUUCCACGGUUAAAUCCACGGUUGACAAGAUUAAACUCGCUUUCAGCGAGUUUCCACGUACUUGUUGCCAAGUUUGCGGCCUGUAUGAACACCUGUAAACCGAUAGUUGCGCCACCAUUUUUCCAUUGGCCACUUGCUCGAAACGUAUAACGUUCGCGAUUAUCGUUGUUCGACCACGUUUCGUAAUAUCGGAUUCACGUAACGAGAGAUUCAUUUUUGAUUGAUUAAUUUUAAGUCAUUAAUCGACCAUUAAGAACAAAGGCGGUAAAUAUAUAGAUGCUAUGCAGAGCAAAAUAAUCGAUUUAUUUUCAUAUAUGUCGAUGGAAAUUAUUUCAAUGGGACGAAUGAUAUUUCUUCUGUUUCCUUUAAUAAUAGAACUAAGGCAAACUAUAAUGGACAAAAAAAAUUAAAAAAAAAUGAAAGACGUUAACAGAAUAUACAGAAAUUAUGUACACGAUAAACAAAACUGAGAACAAACAUCUGGCAGAGAAGGCUCGAAAAACAAAUCAUGUAUCCUUAUCUAUGCUUACGAAACAAGAAAAGUCUAGAGCUAUAG